rnacentral:rRNA from 1 species
UACGGAGGGGGCUAGCGUUAUUCGGAAUUAUUGGGCGUAAAGGGCGUGUAGGCGGCCUCGUGUGUCCUAUGUGAAAGCCCUCGGCUUAACCGGGGAACUGCAUAGGAAACUGCAGGGCUUGAGUCCGGGAGAGGAGAGUGGAAUUCCCAGUGUAGCGGUGAAAUGCGUAGAUAUUGGGAGGAACACCAGUGGCGAAGGCGGCUCUCUGGACCGGUACUGACGCUGAGACGCGAAAGCCAGGGGAGCAAACGGG